GGGGGCUUCGUUCAACGGUAGGACAUCGCCUUUGCAAGGCGAGAAUAAGGGUUCGAUUCCCUUAGCCUCCA
rnacentral:tRNA from 1 species